rnacentral:rRNA from 1 species
UUGAAAGGGAAACGAUUGAAGUCAGUCGUACCAGCGGGAAAUCAACCUUUCGNGUGGUGUUUUGGAGUUUUGAAGAGUGUCAAAACCUUUGAGAUUUCAAAAUUUUCGCUCCUUUGGUGUACUUUCUCGUGGGUAGGUUAACAUCGAUUUCGAUCAUCAUAAAAGGAUUGGAGGAAUGUAGCUUCGAUCUUGUAUUGAAGUGUUAUAGCCUUUGGUAAAUGUGAUGAUUGGGAUCGAGGAUUGCAACGAAUACCCUUCGGGGCUACCUGUCUGAUCUCUGAUCGUUGCUCUGGUGCCGAAAGCUUGCUUACGGUUAUCAAAGUCGAUGGUCAAUAGGUUAGAAUGGGUUAAAUUCGUUAAGGAUGUUGACGUA